rnacentral:rRNA from 1 species
AGACGUCUACAUUAGAUACCCGUGUACGUCCCAGCCGUAAACUAUGCGCGUUAGGUGUAUCGGUGACCACGAGUCACCGAGGUGCCGAAGGGAAACCGUGAAACGUGCCGCCUGGGAAGUACGGUCGCAAGGCUAGAAACUUAAAGGAAUUGGCGGGGGAGCACCACAACGGGUGGAGCCUGCGGUUUAAUUGGACUCAACGCCGGGAAGCUCACCGGAUAAGACAGCGGAAUGAUUGCCGGGCUGAAGACUCUGCAUGACUAGCUG